rnacentral:rRNA from 1 species
UACGAAGGGGGCUAGCGUUGCUCGGAAUCACUGGGCGUAAAGCGCACGUAGGCGGAUCUUUAAGUCAGGGGUGAAAUCCCGGGGCUCAACCCCGGAACUGCCUUUGAUACUGGUAGUCUCGAGUCCGGAAGAGGUGAGUGGAAUUCCGAGUGUAGAGGUGAAAUUCGUAGAUAUUCGGAGGAACACCAGUGGCGAAGGCGGCUCACUGGCCCGAUACUGACGCUGAGGUGCGAAAGCGUGGGGAGCAAACAGG